UGUAAACCUCUUUUAGCAAGGAAGAAGCGAAAGUGACGGUACUUGCAGAAAAAGCACCGGCUAACUACGUGCCAGCAGCCGCGGUAAUACGUAGGGUGCAAGCGUUAUCCGGAAUUAUUGGGCGUAAAGAGCUCGUAGGCGGUUUGUCGCGUCUGCUGUGAAAUCUGGGGGCUCAACCCCCAGCCUGCAGUGGGUACGGGCAGACUAGAGUGCGGUAGGGGAGAUUGGAAUUCCUGGUGUAGCGGUGGAAUGCGCAGAUAUCAGGAGGAACACCGAUGGCGAAGGCAGAUCUCUGGGCCGUAACUGACGCUGAGGAGCGAAAGGGUGGGGAGCAAACAGGCUUAGAUACCCUGGUAGUCCACCCCGUAAACGUUGGGAACUAGUUGUGGGGACCAUUCCACGGUUUCCGUGACGCAGCUAACGCAUUAAGUUCCCCGCCUGGGGAGUACGGCCGCAAGGCUAAAACUCAAAGGAAUUGACGGGGACCCGCACAAGCGGCGGAGCAUGCGGAUUAAUUCGAUGCAACGCGAAGAACCUUACCAAGGCUUGACAUAUUCGAGAACGCCGUAGAAAUACGGAACUCUU
rnacentral:rRNA from 1 species